rnacentral:tRNA from 1 species
AAAUAAGAAGCAAUAUAGCAAUUAGUUUCGACCUAAUUUAUGGUAAUAAAUUUUACCCUUAUUUA